rnacentral:rRNA from 1 species
ACUACGGGUGUCAGCAGUGAGGAAUAUUGGUCACUGGGCUUACGCCUGAACCAGCCAAGUCGCGUGAGGGAAGACUGCCCUAUGGGUUGUAAACCUCUUUUGUCAGGGAGCAACGCCGGCUACGUGUAGCCGGACUGAGAGUACCUGAAGAAAAAGCAUCGGCUAACUCCGUGCCAGCAGCCGCGGUAAUACGGAGGAUGCGAGCGUUAUCCGGAUGUAUUGGGUUUAAAGGGUGCGUAGGCGGAAUGCCAAGUCAGCGGUAAAAUGGCGGGGCUCAACCUCGCUCCGCGGUUGAAACUGGCGUUCUUGAGUGGGCGAGAAGUAUGCGGAAUGCGUGGGGUAGCGGUGAAAUGCAUAGAUAUCACGCAGAACUCCGAUUGCGAAGGCAGCAUACCGGCGCCCAACUGACGCUGAAGCACGAAAGCGUGGGUAUCGAACAGGAUUAGAUACCCCAGUAGUC